AUGCUGAGAAGUAAAAGGAGCAACACCAUGUUUCAGGUCAGCUCGUCAUGUCGGACACAGGACAGUUCAGGUCUGCAAAGGAUGUGCAGUGAAGACGGGCUUAUUUUUCCCAAAAAGUCUUGGAAGAGAGAACAAAACCCUGUUUCACCGGUUGAAGAGUGGCUGCUUCAAGACCAAUACAGGUUGUCUGUGCUUCUUCUUUAAACCCAACUCAUCGUGGCAUCGGCAUCAGGAAAUCUCUUCUUUGCUUUCUGGGGAUGGCUUUUGGCGGCAGACUUCUAUCCCACAUUGCAAAUACCUUGGGACUCUGUUGUGUCGGAGAGGAGGCUCCCGCCACGCUGAAGACAUUACGCACAGACAUCCCACAAUCCCGUGAAGCUCCAGAGAUGUUUCUGCUUUCCUGGGAGACACGCUCCCACAUCUUUUGCAUGGAUCCGAUUGAUUCCAUCGGAUACUGAGGGACCAUGGACCGUACAUUCAGGAGCUCUGGGAAGGAUGGAAUUUUCAAUCCUGAUAUAGAGGUUUUUUUUUUUGUCUAGAAACUAAUGGAAUGAGGCAGAAGUUACUUUUAAGCCCAACUGGGCAUAGCGCUCCUGCUUUGUCAUCUCAUCAACCAUUUUUUUUUAUUCACAAAUCAACAACCGAGGCAAAUGGAGUUUACAGUGACAAGACUGGGGAUGUGUGAUGAAGGACUGCAACAGUGAUGGGAUUCUUCUUCAGUUCCCCAAACAUUUUAGACAAACUAAGAGUUAAGGUUAAGCUCAGAUAGUCACUCAACACACACAGGUAAGAAUUCCAGAAUGUCUUAAGGCUGUUAAUUGCACAUCAAAAUAACCAUUUCAAUUGCGCUUGUUAGUCUGCUAUUUGCUGUUUUCAAAUUAGAUGUGAAUAAAGUUUUAAGUGAUUCUUUAAACAAAAUGCAGAAAUGAAAAACACAUAUGUUGUGUAUCCCGAUGGUGACACAACAGUUGUUCUGUGAUUUCUCUAAGACUAUUUGUUUGGUCUUGCAUAACUUUCUGAAAAGGCUGUUUUAUUUGUCAAGAGCGCUUUGAGGUGUUACUGACAAUGAAAAGGAAGCACGUGAAAUAAAAAUAGAUUAGCUGUUGCUCAUUUUGCUGGGGCACUUCUGCACAUAUUUGGAGAAUAGUCCGCAUUUUUAAAUCCCACUCUGUGAAUGAGGAUUUGAUGUGAAUACACGCAUGUGACUACAAGCAAGAUGAGGUGCUUAUAACAGACCUAACUGACUUCAGCACAAAGGGGAAUGGUUUAGUAGUCACAGGAUAUGAUGAAGACCAGAACGAGAAAGGUUACCAAAACUUUAAAGAGCCAUGAUGCAUCUCAGAGUUCAGUCGGGGAACCUAUUUCCCUGUAAUAGUAAACACAUUAACAUUUAUUGUCACAAAUAUUUUCUCACAUCUUUCGACCCAACAGACUAUUAAAGAUACUUGAAAAAAGGCACAAAUGAACAAGUGAAAGCUAUGUUUUGCUCUCAGUACUCCAUUCCUUGAUAUUUUAGUUUCUCUUUUCAUUGUCUUUAUUCUUCCAGUUUUUAAACUGUCGAUUUUUUCCCUUCACUUUAGCUACAGUACGCACUUUUUUGUGAUUUCCUCCUGAAAGCCAGAGAUAAUGUGCCAGUGUUAGAAAUAUAAUGAAAGAUUAAAUAUUUCAAUAAUGAACAGUUACACGAGUUCAGAACAUGUCACAAAACACCUUAUUCCCUUUUGACAUUAGAAGAUUUGGGUUACACUUGCUGUGUUAAAUGCUAACAGGUAUUCAGGUAAAUGCCGUUAAUUUUAACUAAGGAAAUUACAAAAGAGUAGUUUUUGAAUGGAAUUAAAUGUUUAAUUUGUAAGCCAUUAGAGAAAUCAAUCUAUUAACUUUAAUCUGAGCUGUUUUUUGAAUAACUUUGAAGCUGUUUUGUUGCUUGUUAGGUUAGUUUCUUUAACUGCUUUAACACUAUAAACAGUAAAUAAGACUGUUUCUCAAACCUUUUCAAUCUGUUCACCUUAAGUCAUUAAGACAGGAAAUUGAUGGAACCAUAUCUUAAAGUUAUGUGUGCCUUAUUAUUUCUAUUUAAAUAAUUUGGUUUUAUUUGUGUAAUUCCUAUGAAAUUAGUAAAGAUUUGUACUUACUGAUGAUUGUUAUUUUCCUAAAUUAAAAUUCUUUGUUCUUUUACAUUCCUCUAUUUUUUUACAAAGUUCAAUGUAAUGUAAUAAAACAGGAUAAUUGAAUUGUGUAAUAAUAGUCACGUUUGGCUUGAACGCAAACAAGUCCUAUAUGUUUUAUGCAUAUGUUAUUCACCUGGAAAAAACAAAACUCUUGAAAUGUGUGGAUUGCAAUUAAAUCAAAAGAACAAUUUUGUUACUUUAAAUACGAAUUACAUGUGUCAAAAAAUUGUUAGGAAUUCCUUAUGAAAUCCUCAGACCACAAUCGUAUCCUUGGGGAUACAUUGUAGAUGCUGCGAAAGAAAGUUAAGCUAUGUAAUGGGCUUUAAAUAAUGAUUUUCAGGUGGGUUAUAAACAAUGAUUUGCUGUGAUUUACCAUUUUAUUCUCAUCAACCAAUAUAAAAUAGUGAUAAUCCAAGAUUUCUGUAUAGUCCCUUAAAUAUUUUAAUCCAUCUAUGAAUUCAUAAAAGUGUAAAAUGAUACAGUGAUUCAAACUUUCUGAAUUACUGGUUCAGUUUAGGAAUGAUUCAAAUACAAAUUGUAUCAUAAAUCCAAUCUAAAAAAAAAGCUGUACACCAAGGGAUUUUACAGAAAACCAUUAGCUCAUCCAGCACAUAAUACAUUUAUACAGCAGUGAAGUAUUUUAUUUCUGAUUAAAAUGUACUUCCCAAGUCACUUCAAUAAAACUUAUGGAAAGUCUAUUCAUCACAAAAUAUGACUUAAUUCAUUGUUUACAAGGAUAACGAUUUGUUGGUAAAACUAGUGUUUGAAAAUAAAAGUCUAAAUAAAUAUAUUGUAUACAAAAUGGCCUUUUCUAGUUGCUUUAUUUCACUUUGAAUAAAAAAAACUUAAUCUACACAUCUGGUCUACACAUCUGCUGCUCUGUCUUUACUGCUGUCAUACUUACAUAACAUUUGAAUGCUCAGUUUCACUUUGAAAUUAAGGACAUAGAUGUGGAUGUUUUCAGUAACACAGCAUAAAACCCACACAGACUGCAGCUGUUUGCCUAUACGUUUAGAAAAUGUGUGUCUGAAUAUAUGUUUUUAGAUUAAACAGAAAUGUAUUGAGAAAAAAACAUAACCAGACUGUGUUAUUAAAAUUGAUAUUAUGUGUAUUCAGGUUUUGUAAGGAAUAUUGUGUCCUUUCUGGACACUGUUUUUCUGUUGUAAAGUAACAGUCGUUCUGUUCAUUAAAUAAGAACUGAAUAUUGUGAGUUGUAUGAAUAUAAGUCAGAUAUCAAUGUUUUGCAAUACUUGCAUUUAAGCAUGGAAUAUGUAUGAAUUGUUACAUGAAUAAUGGCUAAAGAAUAAAC
ensembl:lincRNA